rnacentral:sRNA from 1 species
GAAGAAUUACAAGAAUCUCUCAAGAUUUCUCAAGAUAAAAAGAAUAAAUGGAAAGAAAAAGCUCAAGAGUCUGACAAAAAGUUUCAAAAGUUAUUAACUGAAAAAGUUCAAGAGUCUGACGGAAAGUCUCAAAAAAUAUUAACUAAAAAAGGUUUGUUAC